GUGUCAGCCGCCGCGGUAAGACAGAGGCCACAAGCGUUAGGCGGAAUCACUGGGCUUAAAGCGUGUGUAGGCGGAGGCGUAAGUGUCUUGUGAAAUCCCCCGGCUCAACCGGGGAACCGCUGGGCAUACUGCGUCUCUUGGGCCAAUCAGGGGCAGCCGGAACAAACGGUGGAGCGGUGAAAUGCGUAGAUAUCGUUUGGAACGCCAACGGCGAAAGCAGGCUGCUGGGAUUGUGCCGACGCUGAGACACGAAAGCCAGGGGAGCGAACGGGAUUAGAUACCCCCGUAGUCC
rnacentral:rRNA from 1 species